AAGCUCGUAGUUGAAUUUCGGGAUUAGUACGUCGGUCGUGCCUUAGGUACGUACUGGUGUUACUGGUUCCUACCUUCUGACGAACCAUCAUGUCAUUAAUUUGGUGUGGUGGGGGAAUCAGGACUGUUACUUUAGAAAAAAUUAGAGUGUUUAAAGCGGGCUCGCGCUUGAAUACAUUAGCAUGGAAUAAUGAAAUAGGACGUUGAUCCUAUUUUGUUGGUUUCUAGGAUUGACGUAAUGAUUAAUAGGGAUAGUUGGG
rnacentral:rRNA from 1 species